rnacentral:rRNA from 1 species
UAAAAACCCCGACUUCGGAAGGGGUGUAUUUAUUAGAUACAAAACCAAUGCCCUUCGGGGCUCUUUGGUGAUUCAUGAUAACUAUACGAAUCGCGCGGCCUUGCGCCGGCGAUGGUUCAUUCAAAUUUCUUCCCUAUCAACUUUCGAUGUUUGGGUAUUGGCCAAACAUGGUUGCAACGGGUAACGGAGGGUUAGGGCUCGACCCCGGAGAAGGAGCCUGAGAAACGGCUACUACAUCCAAGGAAGGCAGCAGGCGCGCAAAUUACCCAAUCCCGACUCGGGGAGGUAGUGACAAUAAAUACUGAUACAGGGCCCUUUCGGGCCUUGUAAUUGGAAUGAGUACAAUUUAAAUCCCUUAACGAGGAACAAUUGGAGGGCAAGUCUGGUGCCAGCAGCCGCGGUAAUUCCAGCUCCAAUAGCGUAUAUUAAAGUUGUUGUGGUUAAAAAGCUCGUAGUUGAACCUUGGGCCUGGCUGGCCGGUCCGCCUCACCGCGUGCACUGGUCCGGCCGGGCCUUUCCCUCUGUGGAGCCCCAUACCCUUCACUGGGUGUGGCGGGGAAACAGGACAUUUACUUU